CCCUCAGGCGGCAGGUGGAGCGUGUGCCGGAGCCAGGGCCUGAGGGAGCCGCGGGUAGCCGACGCUGACAGCGUGAGCUGAGUGGAGCAUAGGGAGUGUCCCCUGGGUAGAAAGCAGACGGCAUAUGGCUGGUUUAGCUCACUGAAGGAGUCAGGCAGGUGCCAGUACUGGUACAAGAGGAGGGGAACAUAUGGCUGGGAACAGAAGGAAGUGUUGGCCUGAGCUAUGUGUGAUGCCUGUGUGGAAAGAAAGUACAUUCAGCUUCAGAUAAAACUGUGACAGCUACACAGAGACAGUCCUUCAAGUAAGGCCAUUGUGUCUCAAGAGAUAUAUCUAAAAAUAGUGGAUGUUUGAAAUGUUCUUGCUUAAAUUGCCCCAACUUUGUAUCUUUCAUCUGUAAAAUGAAUAUACUAAUAUUAACAUGCCUCAGGACUCUUGUAAAGAAAGAGCUGAAUUUUUGAAGCAUCCAUUAGCUUAAGAACAACAUAAAAAACCCAAGAGAAAAUUGACUAAACGUGUUUCUCUUUGGCACUCUUUCUGAAUGGUACAUAUUAAAUAAAGCCCAAGGCUGUACAAUGAAUAACAAGAAUUACAAAAACUUUAAUGUAACAAUUCAAUAAGUACCAUUCAUAUGCCCAGAGAAGCUGUGGAGGCUCCAAACUUGGAAGCGUUGAAAGCCAGGGUGGAUGGGAUCUUGAGCAACAUGACCCUGGCAGGUGUCCCUUCCCAUAGCAGGGCUUUAUAUUGUUUAUUUUCUGCACUCAAAAAGGUUGGGGAUUUGGUGAAAAAGUAACGUAGCUCUUCAAACAGUUUCUAUGGAUUUGUGUCUCUAAAUGAGUUAUAGCAAGUUCUGAUUCAAAGCUGCCUUAUCACUGUGGAAUUGAUACGUGCUUUCCUGUAUAACCUCUGAAUGAGGCAUGGAGUUAAGGAUAGUCUGGGCAUGUGCAGGUAUAUCAAGUUUGGCCAUUGUAAACUGGACUAUGCAGAAUUUGCUGAUGUAGCUUGACCUGGAAUGAUGUUUCUUGUUUACCAUUCCAGGACUGAUGAAAGCUUUGUGAUGCUAAACAAAGAUCUUUUAAGUUUUUCCAGGAACUCAUUGUUAUUCUGACACCCGUAUAAGAGU